AUGGAGCGAGAAGACCCGCCCCCAAGUCCAGCCUCCGCCAGUUGGCUGGGUGACCUCACUGCAAGGCCCUCCCCUCUUUGGGCCUCAGUUUCCUCUUCAGAAAACAGAGCGAGUGGGCGCAUCUUUCUUCUCCGGCAGGCCGUUGACAUGAAAACCGAAGAGGAAAAUGGAGAAACCACACUAUCGAGAAGAGCUGUACAUGCCCCAUGGCAUAUAAGCCUCAUGGCAGCAGAGACCAGGUUGGCGCUGGGUACAUUGACUCCAUUCGUGGUUGCUGACCGAGGCGCAGAGCAGUAAAAGGUCUGGAAGCCUCCAAAGAUAAUCCUCCCGUAGGUGGGUUCCAGGCUGCCUUGAGAGACCACCUGAACCCCCACCCCCACGAAUAAUAAGGGCAGCAUCGCCUAUGAGUCACCUACACUGAAUGUGUUUGUUCCCUCUUACUGAUGGAACUUGCAAUUUUUGGCUGGGUACGUGGCCUCCCAAAAUAAAGACUGUAUUUCUCAACCUCCCUUGUGACUA
rnacentral:lncRNA from 1 species